rnacentral:rRNA from 1 species
CUCCUACGGGAGGCAGCAGUGGGGAAUAUUGCACAAUGGGGGAAACCCUGAUGCAGCGACGCCGCGUGGAGGAAGAAGGUUUUCGGAUUGUAAAACCUCUGUCUUUAGUGACGAUAAUGACGGUAGCUAAAGAGGAAGCCACGGCUAACUACGUGCCAGCAGCCGCGGUAAUACGUAGGUGGCGAGCGUUGUCCGGAAUUACUGGGUGUAAAGGGAGCGUAGGCGGGGAAGACAAGUUGAAUGUUUAAACUAUCGGCUUAACCGGUAGUCGCGUUCAAAACUGUUUUUCUUGAGUGAAGUAGAGGCAGGCGGAAUUCCUAGUGUAGCGGUGAAAUGCGUAGAUAUUAGGAGGAACACCAGUGGCGAAGGCGGCCUGCUGGGCUUUAACUGACGCUGAGGCUCGAAAGCGUGGGUAGUAAACAGGAUUAGAUACCCUGGUAGUCCACGCCGUAAACGAUGAUUACUAGGUGUGGGGGGACUGACCCCUUCCGUGCCGGAGUUAACACAAUAAGUAAUCCACCUGGGGAGUACGGCCGCAAGGUUGAAACUCAAAGGAAUUGACGGGGGCCCGCACAAGCAGUGGAGUAUGUGGUUUAAUUCGAAGAUACGCGAAAAACCUUACCAGGUCUUGACAUCGAGUGAAAGCUCUAGAGAUAGAGCCCCGCUUCGGCGCACGAAGACAGGUGGUGCAUGGUUGUCGUCAGCUCGUGUCGUGAGAUGUUGGGUUAAGUCCCGCAACGAGCGCAACCCUUACUGAUAGUUGUACGCAAGAGCACUCUAUCGGGACUGCCGUUGACAAAACGGAGGAAGGUGGGGAUGACGUCAAAUCAUCAUGCCCCUUAUGACCUGGGCCACACACGUACUACAAUGGCCGUAAACAGAGGGAAGCAAAACCGCGAGGUAGAGCCAACCCCUAAAAGCGGUCUCAGUUCGGAUCGCAGGCUGCAACCCGCCUGCGUGAAGCCGGAAUUGCUAGUAAUCGCGGAUCAGCAUGCCGCGGUGAAUACGUUCCCGGGCCUUGUACACACCGC